AUGAACGCUAGCUACAGGCUUAACACAUGCAAGUCGCGGGGUAACAUCUGGUAGAGCUUGCUCUUCCAGGAUGACGACCGGCGCACGGGUGAGUAACGCGUAUCCAACCUGGCCCAUACCACGGGAUAGCCCGUCGAAAGGCGGAUUAAUACCGUAUGCUGUCAUUAAGAUGCAUAUAUUGAUGACGAAAGGACUGGCGGUAUGGGAUGGGGAUGCGUCUGAUUAGCUGUUGGCGGGUAACGGCCCACCAAGGCUACGAUCAGUAGGGGUUCUGAGAGGAAGGUCCCCCACAUUGGAACUGAGACACGGUCCAAACUCCUACGGGAGGCAGCAGUGAGGAAUAUUGGUCAAUGGGCGAGAGCCUGAACCAGCCAAGUAGCGUGCAGGACGACGGCCCUAUGGGUUGUAAACUGCUUUUAUAUGGGGAUAAAGUGAGUUACGUGUAGCUUAUUGCAGGUACCAUAUGAAUAAGGACCGGCUAAUUCCGUG
rnacentral:rRNA from 1 species